AUAGCAACAGCAGCGUAGCUGAACAUCUUACGGAUGGCCCAGGGCUCCAAAGGCUCGUUUCCUAAGUGAGAGAGAGCCUGGCUGAAGCUGUAUUACCAUUCAUUCUCCAGCCUCCGAAGUCUCAAAGCAUCACUUCCACCAUACUCUAACUGUCAAGACAAACACAAAGGCCCAGAAACUGCCAGACUGUCUUCUGAAGUGGCUAUAAUAUUUACACUCCCAUCAGCAGUGUAGAAGGGGUCUCACUAUGUUGUCUGGAGUGCUGUGGUGGAGUGGAGUGGCUAUUCACAGCUGAGUUUGCAGAGUAAACCACUACCCUGAAAUCUGGAAAGGCAGGUGCACCCACAGAUCCUCAGCUGAGAUCCAAUUACCUGAAAUAGAAGCUGCCAUUAGGAACACUUAAAAGAGCCUGUUCUGCUGGGACACAGAAUCACUUGCUCCAUCUCAUACAUUGAUGAUGAUUAAUUUGUAUGUGUACCUUCCAAAAAAGAUGGUUGUGUUUGAAUGGAGGCCUUCUGGACAGGAAAAUAUGGAGAGUGCGUGCUUUGGAUUCAAGACUGGGAAUGAGGGGACCAGAAACCUAUUCUGUGGCUGUUUCUUGUUAGGACUUUCCUAAGCCUCUGGAAAAGUGCAAAGUACAAUUAACAUUUGAGUCUGUCUGAGUCAUGAAGAAAUGGAGAUUACUGAAAAUAAUUCAUUUUGGUAUCUUCUUACAUCCUGAGAGACUAAUCUUUCCAAGUUCAUCUGAGGCUCCUCUUCUCCAUGACAACCUCAUCCAGGGAUUUCUUCCUGUCCUGGUGUUUUAUGACAUGUGGAAGGGGACUGUAGCAGGUGAUCUCCAAAGUCUCUGGAGACUUACUAAUGUGCAUCCUCAUCUCGCUUGUAAGGAUAAUAGCCUUCCUCCAAACCUCACACACUUUUGGAGGAGAUCACUUUUUUUAAAGUGCAUGGAAAUGUUUUGAAACAGUGAAAUCUAUAAUGAUAGGUUUCAUAAUUCUAACAUCCACACCAUAUGAAUCACAUCCUUCCUGAGAUAAUGAGCACACAAUUGCCUGGAUACCUGAAGGAAUGGAGACAGCGGCAGAAAACACUGCAGAGAGGUGGAAACAUCCGUUAAUAUUUUAAAAUCCCAUUACUGCUACCAACAAUAAUAAUGGAUGCAUAGAAAUAGAUCUGGAUUAGCUGAGCUUGAAACAGUCCAUCUCACACACACACAAAAGAAUUUCAGAUACAGUGAACCCACAUGUUGAAGCUUUCUAGUAUAAUAAAAAUUUCAACUGUUCUGUUGAAUCAUCUGCCUGAUUGGAGGCUACAGAAAAGAUGUCAUCUUAGGAGUGCUUGCUCUGAGUGAGGCUCAUCUUCAAAUCUGAAUGACCACAAGGAGAUUUGAUUAUACAUGUGAACACCUCAGAAGGCACAGCCCACCCAGAAGGCAGACAGGUCAGGCUGCUUUUUCUUCAUUGCUUGGAUUCAAUCCUCCGGGCGGCUCAGGCUCAAACAUAACUUAAGCAUGAUUAAACUUUAGAAGAAGCUGCCAGGAAGACUGUGAAAUCUUCAUGCCCAAGGAUCCCUAAAAUUAGGAGCAACAACCACUUGGCUCAGACGGUUUAUGGAGGCAAAGGUUUGGAUGGGAUUAGAGAUUUCUAAAUGUGAGUUCGUGUCCUCUGCCAGACCACCUUACUUCCACCAUUCCUCAGCAAAUCAAGAAAAACAGGAGAAAAGACAUGCCUUUCCAUAAGUUAAAUCUAUUCUGUUUUAAUUCUAUAUUAUAUCUGCUGUACAACUUCUUUUGUUUGUAACACCAUAUUGUUGCUAGUAACUGGAAAUUAAUUUUCACAUGCCUCAGCUUAGAAAAAUAAAAAGCAGCCCUGCAUCAAUCCCAA
rnacentral:lncRNA from 1 species